AACCCUUGUCUUAAUUGCCAUCAUUUAGUUGGGCACUUUAAGAGACUGCCGGUGUUAAGCCGGAGGAAGUGGGGAUGACGUCAAGUCCUCAUGGCCUUUAUGCCCAGGGCUACACACGUGCUACAAUGGGCGGUACAAAGAGAAGCAACCUCGCGAGGGUGAGCAAAUCUCAAAAAGCCGUUCUCAGUUCGGAUUGAAGUCUGCAACUCGACUUCAUGAAGUCGGAAUCGCUAGUAAUCGCGGAUCAGCAUGCCGCGGUGAAUACGUUCCCGGGCCUU
rnacentral:rRNA from 1 species